rnacentral:rRNA from 1 species
AGAGGGUGCGAGCGUUAAUCGGAAUUACUGGGCGUAAAGGGUGCGUAGGUGGUCUUAUAAGUCAGAUGUGAAAGCCCUGGGCUUAACCUGGGAACGGCAUUUGAAACUAUGAGACUAGAGUUCGGUAGAGGGAAGUGGAAUUUCCGGUGUAGCGGUGAAAUGCGUAGAUAUCGGAAGGAACACCAGUGGCGAAGGCGACUUCCUGGGCCGACACUGACACAGAGGCACGAAAGCGUGGGGAGCGAACAGGAUUAGAUACCCUGGUAGUCCACGCUGUAAACGAUGAGUACUAGAUGUUAGGGAGCUUAGACUCUUUAGUAUUGUAGCUAACGCGCUAAGUACUCGCCUGGGGACUACGCCGCAAGGUU